rnacentral:rRNA from 1 species
CUGGCGGCAGGCUUAACACAUGCAAGUCNGAACGCAUCCUUCGGGGUGAGUGGCAGACGGGUGAGUAACACGUGGGAACGUGCCCUUCAGUUCGGGAUAACCCAGGGAAACUUGGGCUAAUACCGGAUACGUCCUUAGGGAGAAAGAUUUAUCGCUGAAGGAUCGGCCCGCGUCUGAUUAGCUAGUUGGUGGGGUAAUGGCCUACCAAGGCGACGAUCAGUAGCUGGUCUGAGAGGGUGAUCAGCCACACUGGGACUGAGACACGGCCCAGACUCCUACGGGAGGCAGCAGUGGGGAAUAUUGGACAAUGGGCGCAAGCCUGAUCCAGCCAUGCCGCGUGAGUGAUGAAGGCCCUAGGGUUGUAAAGCUCUUUCGGCGGGGACGAUAAUGACGGUACCCGCAGAAGAAGCCCCGGCUAACUUCGUGCCAGCAGCCGCGGUAAUACGAAGGGGGCUAGCGUUGUUCGGAAUCACUGGGCGUAAAGGGCGCGUAGGCGGCUAUUCAAGUCGGGGGUGAAAGCCUGUGGCUCAACCACAGAAUUGCCUUCGAUACUGUUUGGCUUGAGACCGGAAGAGGACAGCGGAACUGCGAGUGUAGAGGUGAAAUUCGUAGAUAUUCGCAAGAACACCA